rnacentral:lncRNA from 1 species
AGUGUUGUGUAAUAAAUAAAUAAGUAAGUAGGAAAGAAGUAAGGAGAUAAGGAAAAAAUAAAUACACGGGAAGCCCUUCCCAGUUGGUAAUGAAGCAGGCAAACUGGUUAGUGAGGAGUAACAGGAUCUUUAGUGGGUGGUUUAGAGUAGUUCUGCUCGAAGAAGGAUUUAGUGACCUUCCUUCCUUCCUUCCUUCCUGCAGCACUAUUCUCGGAUUCCAUAUGGAAAGUACAAAAAUAAUGAUGAAAAGUCUACCCAGUUCAGAGCUGAGCACCAUGCGGGGGCCUGAGAGGUACUUUUGAGUGGAAGAAAGUUAGCUGAAUAUUUUUAAAACAGUAAUAGUAUAAGGUUACAAGUAGGGUCUGAAUUCUUUACAUAUUUUAUCUCUAAAUGUUUCCAAGGAAAAUGUUUAUUCUGAAAAUUCACUAAGAGCUCUUAGUAUAUUUAGGGUAUGUACGUUGGAAUAAAGCACAUGUUUAAUAGACCAGAAGGUCUUAUCACAAUAUUCCUGCUCUUGGGGAGAAACCUUUUCAUACUCUCUCAAGGGCCUCUGGCUCUUAUGAAACAUCAGUUUUUUGCUCAGCUGAAAUUAUUCUGACAGCUCUGACAUUAAAUUAUCAUCACCAGAUCAUGGUAUACUUACAGAUAAAUCAAGAUUUAUGGGGGAUUAAAAAUAAAAAGAAUUAAUACAAGUCUCCAAAAUACCAGAUUAGACUAUCAAAGGCUACUCAGAUAAAAACUUGAUAUUUUCCGAUUCAGUUAAUCAUAACUUUAUAUGCUUUAAUGUGAGGAAGCAAACAAUCCAUGCUGUUCCCUCAACAUUGCUCCACUCCUACCCCACACAACUUCAUACCCACCCUUUCCAUUUUAGAGAUUCGUUUAAAAGAAAUGUUAUUUUAGCAUCCUAUAACCGUAUGAUCUUCCCAUAUGGAUUAAUUCUCACUCUGACUUUCCUCUGCAAUUUGGGCUUCCCUAGCCCCAUUAAAAAGAGGAAUAUUACCCAGCAGACUCAUUAUAGUUCUAAGAUAGAUUUUUCUAAGCGAGUUGUAUACCUCUUGCUCCAAUAUGGUCUAUUAAUAAGAUAUUACUUACAUCAUACAAUAUACUAACCUUCAAAGAUCACUCAUUAUUAUUCUCUGUGCAAAUCUGUUCUACAAAAACACAUCCACACUCACACACAGUUAGAUACUCCGAAGUCUGGGAGUCCCUUACCGAGUAACAUUACAUUGCUCUGGGGACUCUUUUCCAAGAAAGUUUACUACGACAACAACAAAAACGUCCAACAGGAAAAGUGGUGUUUGUACCUGAGUUUUAAAUGGCAAUUUUUAUGUGUUUAUUUGUUUGUUUAAUUAUCCAUUUAUCUUAAGAACACCAGCUAGAAUCGGGGUUUGGAAGACUAAGCAUGAAGAGGAAAGAUGAAACAGAUGCAAUACACAGUUAAGAUCAAAGAGCCCCAUCAAUUCAUUCAGAGAGUCAAAAUCCAGCUGAGCCUCGGAGCCCUGUCUGCAUAAUAAGAAAGGUUGACUAAAACAUAAGGAUUAAACAGAUGAGCUGUCUCCUGUGGAGGCGUGGGAGGGAAGCCCCACUGAGACACUUGUAAAGACACUUUGGAAGUGCACACCUGCUCCUCCACAGUCAAACCUACAGGAGACCAGCCUGGCCAAAGACGUUCCACUAAUGUACUAAAUUGCCAGUUUUAAGAAAAAGGAAUAUAUGUCCAGUGGACGACUUGUUAUUUGUCAAGAUAUUUUCAGUGCUGGAAAAUGACAAAUUAAUAAAUCACUUCCAUUUUUCCAAGGUGACUUUCUAAGUGCUUGCUUCUCAAAAUUGAGAAAAAAUAGUGCAAAUCUCCCUACGUCAUGUAACAGUAUUAGGAAGAUGCCUACCUCAUGAUUAGAUUUCUUCAAAUGGAUAGUGUUUUCUUAACACAACCUUGCAUAUCAUUGGUAAAUACAUGCUCGUUCCAUUUUGCAUUCUUCAGAAAUGAUCGUUUUCUUAGUAGCAUGAAGGACAUGCCAGGUUUUACGAAACACACACUGGCUAUGCUAAACUGCAUAAUUUGGCUCUAUACAGCAGGAGUAUAGCACAGGAACCAACAUACUUCAAAUGCUGUGCCUGUGACAAAUGCUGCCUUUAUUCUAAAGACCUCACUGCUCUGUUUUGUUGUAACUGUGGAUAAGAAAUUAUUCUGAACACAAAACCAGAUUUAAGAAAGCUCAACUACUUUAAGAAAGCUAAGAUGUCUGGACCUUUAGCAACAGACACCCACUGGGAUAAAAAUUAUAUAGAGUUGUAACAGGAGAUUUCAAAUACAAUUUUUAAACUCUGCCUUUGCUAUGGAUUAACUUUCUCAAGCCCUGCAUGUAGGGAUGAUUUAAAUAUGUAAUUGACAGACCCAAAUAAAUGGUAAGCGUUAGCUUUUGUUUUAUUCACCAAAACAAGCAAUCCAAUUUGAAGUGAGGGCAACGGAGUCGCUGGGGAACAGAACAAGUUGCAAAAUGUCAAGAAGUGGCUUCGUAGAGUCGAAGUGCAGUAUCUGACCUGCUCCCUAUUAGUCUAAUUACAUUAUCACUCACUCACUCAACCAGCCAACCCACACACUUUGAGUGCUGAUUAUGUGCCAGGCACUAGGGGAGCCGCAGAGAAGAAUUCCACACGAACCCUAAGUAACAACACUACACCAUAGCACCAAGUGCGUGCUGUGGAUAAACGCUGGAGAAGGGGCCCCUGGGGGGUGAAGAAACAGAAGUCUUUGUUUAAGAGGUGGGAUUUGAUGAGGACAUGAGGCAUAAGGGGAAGCAAGAGGUGGAGCGGAGGGAACUGGUUUUCCCGGGGGAAAGUAGAGAGAGAAGGACCUAGCAUUCACUUUGAGAGAGAGCAGGUCAUUCCAUCGGCUAGACAGACACUGGCUGGAGAGACAUGAAGUGUGAGGUUAAAAAGGUAAGAAAGGUAAUUUUUAGGUGUUUUUGCUAGUCCUGAACUGUUCUUCCUCCAGUCCUUCUCAAGAUGUAAUCUGGAGAACCGCCUGUGUUGUUUUGUUUUGUUUUGACGGCCGUGUCCAAGGCACAUGGAAGUUCCCAGUUCUUUUGAGUUCCAAGUCCCUAUUACUAAUCUCUGGAGAUCUCAACCAGAAUUUCUUUCAAGUAUUUCGAAUUUAAUAUUUAUUUCUCUCUCCAUCCCCAGUAAAUUAUCCCACUUCCAGUAUUAACCAUAACAACAUCAUCAUCCAUUAUAGUCUUCUAAACCAGAACAUUCAGUGCCAUCCUUAGAGGUUCCCUUUUUCUGUCACAUCACAUUCAAUUGGUUGCUAAUGUUUAUCAAUAUUAACUCAGAAAUGUUUAUUAAAUCUAGUCCUUUUUGCUUCAAUCUCAUAAUUAUCCUUAAAAUCAGCUCUUUAUUAUUUGGAAGGCUAGAAAAUUAUAAAAUCUUCCUUAUCUUUCCCUCCUGUUUCUCCUUUUAGCCAGUAUGUAUAUUUUGCCAUCAUUGGCAGAGUUACCAUCUUAAAUAAAUAAUAACAACAAUUAAGCAUUUCAAAUCAUAAGCCUAUUUAAAAAACAAUGCAAUCCUACACUUUGGUUGACUAUUUUCUACGAGAUUAAAAAUUCAGAUUCUUUUCCAUUGCAUUCAAAGUUCAUCUCAUCUUUCUAGCUCAUCACCUCUCCUUCUUCAUGUGUACAUACAACUCCAAGCUUCGCCAUAUUGAAAUUCUCACCAUAACAUGGGGGUACCUUUGCAGGUGUUAUUUUCUCUGCCUAGAAUGAUUUCCCCCCAUGUCUUCAUUCUGCAUCUUUUAGUAAACAGCUUGAAUUUUAUCUUUUUAGGUGCAACCUGGAAAGUUACCCCACAGUUACCCCAGAGAGUUACCAAAACCAACGAAAUCUCCAAUUCCUUGUGUGGCAACAUAUCCAUUUUCCUGUCACCCUGUCUUGACAAUCUAGUCCUUUAGAACAAAGAAUUUAUCCUACUCAUUUCCGUAAUGCCCAGUGCCUAGUAGAGAGUCUGGAUCAUAGGAAGUAGUAAAUGCCAAAUUGAUAAAUAUUUUUAUA